GACGAACGCUGGCGGCGUGCUUAACACAUGCAAGUCGAACGGAAAGGCCCUGCUUUUGUGGGGUGCUCGAGUGGCGAACGGGUGAGUAACACGUGAGUAACCUGCCCUUGACUUUGGGAUAACUUCAGGAAACUGGGGCUAAUACCGGAUAGGAGCUCCUGCUGCAUGGUGGGGGUUGGAAAGUUUCGGCGGUUGGGGAUGGACUCGCGGCUUAUCGGCUUGUUGGUGGGGUAGUGGAUUACCAAGGUUUUGACGGGUAGCCGGCCUGAGAGGGUGACCGGCCACAUUGGGACUGAGAUACGGCCCAGACUCCUACGGGAGGCAGCAGUGGGGAAUAUUGCACAAUGGGCGGAAGCCUGAUGCAGCAACGCCGCGUGCGGGAUGACGGCCUUCGGGUGGUAAACCGCUUUCGCCUGUGACGAAGCGUGAGUGACGGUAAUGGGUAAAGAAGCACCGGCUAACUACGU
rnacentral:rRNA from 1 species